rnacentral:rRNA from 1 species
UGGGGAAUCUUGCGCAAUGGACGAAAGUCUGACGCAGCGACGCCGCGUGAGUGAUGAAGGCCUUCGGGUUGUAAAGCUCUGUGGAGGGGGACGAAUAAGUGUCGUCGAAUAGGCGGCAUGAUGACGGUACCCCUUUAGCAAGCACCGGCUAACUCUGUGCCAGCAGCCGCGGUAAGACAGAGGGUGCAAACGUUGUUCGGAAUUACUGGGCGUAAAGCGCGUGUAGGCUGCUCGGAAAGUCGGAUGUGAAAGCCCUGGGCUCAACCCAGGAAGUGCAUUCGAAACUUCUGAGCUUGAGUUUCGGAGAGGAAGGCGGAAUUCUCGGUGUAGAGGUGAAAUUCGUAGAUAUCGAGAGGAACACCGGUAGGCGAAGGCGGCCUUCUGGACGGUGACUGACGCUGAGACGCGAAAGCGUGGGGAGCGAAACAGGAUUAGAUACCCUGGUAGUCCACGCCGUAAACGAUGGGUGCUAGGUGUCGCGGGCUUUGACCCCUG